UUAAGCAUAUCAAUAAGCGGAGGAAGAGAAACUAACAAGGAUUCCCCCAGUAACGGCGAGCGAAGUGGGAAGAGCUCGAGCCUGUAAUCUCUGGCAGCUGCUGCCAGCGAGUUGUGGCCGUGAGAAGGACACUUUGUCCCGAGUUUGCGGCGUCGAGGUUGACCUGGAAGGGCACGUCGAAGAGGGUGAGAGCCCCGUGUGCGGCCUCGCAGACUCGGUCAAUUGGUGCACUUCGGAGAGUCGGGUUGUUUGGGAAUGCAGCCCAAAUUUGGUGGUAAACUCCACCUAAAGCUAAAUACUGGCACGAGACCGAUAGCGAACAAGUACCAUGAGGGAAAGGUGAAAAGCACUUUGAAAAGAGAGUCAAAGAGACCGCAAAACCGUUGGGAGGGAAACGAAUGUGGCCAUGAAGGCUCCUUUCAGGUUCAGGGUGGCCUCGGUUCGGGGCUUGCGCUGUGUGGGGACCCGUAUUCGGGCCCGGCCAACGCAAGUUCCAUCGAGGUUCCUGCAUUCUCGUUUGGAGUCCACCAACGGCGGCCGUUCCCGGUGGAGAAGGGUCGUAGGGUCAGGUGCCUCUUCCUCGCCCUUUGCGGGGCUGUGGAGGAGAGCUUACAGCCUUCGGCUUGGAGACCGGGGGCGGCCGGGGAAUGUUGCGACAUUUCGCACGGCGUAGUGCAGGCUCCGUGGGGGCCGGGUCGCUUCUGGAGUUGCGUGCUUCGCGGCGAACCACUGCUUGCAGUGGCCGCUGACGGUAAGUGUGCUUGUCUGGGAGGCGGACCACGAUGUUGCGCUUAGGUCGUUGGUGUGGGUAUGGCUCCAUCCGACCCGUCUU
rnacentral:rRNA from 1 species